rnacentral:rRNA from 1 species
AGUGGCGGACGGGUGAGUAACGCGUAAGAAUCUAACUUCAGGACGGGGACAACAGUUGGAAACGACUGCUAAUACCCGAUGUGCCGCAAGGUGAAACCUAAUUGGCCUGAAGAAGAGCUUGCGUCUGAUUAGCUAGUUGGUGGGGUAAGAGCCUACCAAGGCGACGAUCAGUAGCUGGUCUGAGAGGAUGAGCAGCCACACUGGGACUGAGACACGGCCCAGACUCCUACGGGAGGCAGCAGUGGGGAAUUUUCCGCAAUGGGCGAAAGCCUGACGGAGCAACGCCGCGUGAGGGAGGAAGGUCUUUGGAUUGUAAACCUCUUUUCUCAAGGAAGAAGUUCUGACGGUACUUGAGGAAUCAGCCUCGGCUAACUCCGUGCCAGCAGCCGCGGUAAUACGGGGGAGGCAAGCGUUAUCCGGAAUUAUUGGGCGUAAAGCGUCCGCAGGUGGUCAGCCAAGUCUGCUGUCAAAUCAGGUUGCUUAACGACCUAAAGGCGGUGGAAACUGGCAGACUAGAGAGCAGUAGGGGUAGCAGGAAUUCCCAGUGUAGCGGUGAAAUGCGUAGAGAUUGGGAAGAACAUAGGUGGCGAAAGCGUGCUACUGGGCUGUAUCUGACACUCAGGGACGAAAGCUAGGGGAGCGAAAGGGAUUAGAUACCCCUGUAGUCCUAGCCGUAAACGAUGGAUACUAGGCGUGGCUU